UAUUUUGCUCUCCUCUGGAAAAAUUACAUGACAGAACAGAAUUAAGAAGAAAGCGCACACACAUCCUUUGCAACGUUGCCUUAGCCAAGCUAGUCUGUUGGGUCAUGCGCGAAAAACAGCCAAGCCCUAGGACUGAGAUUGUAUUGACAAGAACAAGAUGAAUAGCCCCCUGGAGACUACAGGGUUGUGUUUUUUGUAUUUAUACAUAGGUUGCUUCAAAAGUAAGGCCUCCUAUUUGCUUCCAUGGAAAAAUACAACAGAUUCAAAGAGCACAGCAACAUUGACAGAGGAAAGUCUCACCUUCAAAAUGCUAAUUUUCAAAGUAGUCUGAACCAUUCACUGGGGAUUUUCAUCACCAGUGAACAAGAGCUUGCAUGCCACACUUCCAAAAGUCUGCUUGGCUGUCCAGAAUGUGACUUGUCUCUCACAUCACUAUUGACACUGCUGAAACAACACCUCUUGGGGCUGAAACACCUCACCGUGCUCACACCCACCAUUUGGACUCUGUAAACAUUCAGCAAGCAUUAAUGAGUGUCAAUGGGUGCCAGUUUUUCCUACAUGGAGGAAUUCAGUACUAUGCUGUUGCUUCGUAGGCACUUCCACUACAAACACCGUUUUUGUCAGAUUGCCCAUCUGCUGCCAUCUGUCACACAGUAACAAAACAACAAUGUUGCUAGGAAGGUUCAACCUCUACUGCCAUACCACCAGCAUAAUAAACUGGGAGGCGUUACUUUCAGAGCAGCUAUGUCUGGAUUUCAUAAAACAUUGCCUUAAUGAAUAUAUUCAUGUUUUUACUGUACUUCAUAUCAGAGUUGUUCAGUUUUGCAUGUAAUUAAAUCCAAUAAAGUUAUGCAUAUCUCA